rnacentral:rRNA from 1 species
CGAGUUUGAUCAUGGCUCAGAAUCAACGCUGGCGGCGUGCCUCAGACAUGCAAGUCGAACGAUUAAAGCUCUCUUCGGAGAGUGCAUAGAGUGGCGCACGGGUGAGUAACACGUAAGUAAUCUACCUUCGAGUGGGGAAUAACGUCCGGAAACGGGCGCUAAUACCGCAUAAUGCAGCGGCAUCGCAAGAUGACAGUUGUUAAAGGAGCAAUCCGCUUGAAGAGGAGCUUGCGGCAGAUUAGCUAGUUGGUAGGGUAAUGGCCUACCAAGGCUACGAUCUGUAACCGGUCUUAGAGGACGGUCGGUCACACUGACACUGAAUAACGGGUCAGACUCCUACGGGAGGCAGCAGUCGGGAAUUUUGGGCAAUGGGGGAAACCCUGACCCAGCAACGCCGCGUGAAGGAUGAAGUAUUUCGGUAUGUAAACUUCGAAAGAAUAGGAAGAAUUAAUGACGGUACUAUUUAUAAGGUCCGGCUAACUACGUG